rnacentral:lncRNA from 10 species
UUCUACGUUGCUUAAGACAGUGUGGCAGUUGCUUUCAUAAUGUGUGGUAAUGUAUCCUGUGAGAUCUUUCACUAAUAAAUCAGUACAAAGACUGCUGAAAAUAUCCUUCCCUUUGAAACUACAGGAAAUUCAAGAGUUACCCAUAUUGUCCUAAGUGGAACUGAAAAUGCCUCCUCAUAAAAGAAAUGUUACUCAAAACCAGUUAGUUCCAGAGAAGUUCAGAGACACUUGAAGUUUGUCUAGAUAGUUUUCUACAGAUGUCUUUGCAAGAUGAUUGAAUAUGGGUUAUCUGUGGACUAUAUGGAUGAAAAUGAAGAAUAUUUUCAGCGGCAAGCUUCCCAUAGACAGUCUCGAAGGAGAUUUAGAAAAAUCAACCAGAAAGGUGAAAGACAAACAAUUAUUGACACUGUGGAUCCUUAUCCCAUGGGCAAACCUCCUUUGCCUAGAGGCUAUCACACGGAAUGCACUAAAUCUCAGAAGACAGAAGACAACAUAUAUGGUGCAGUGUGUACUGCUCGGGAGAUGGGUGCACCAGGAUCUCACAAAUCACCACUAAAGAACUUACUUAUGUAACCAAAUACCACCUG